UAGCGAAGGGGGCUAGCGUUGUUCGGAAUCACUGGGCGUAAAGAGCUCGUAGGCGGUUCGUCACGUCGGCUGUGAAAACCUGAGGCUCAACCUCAGGCCUGCAGUCGAUACGGGCGGACUUGAGUACUGCAGGGGAGACUGGAAUUCCUGGUGUAGCGGUGAAAUGCGCAGAUAUCAGGAGGAACACCGGUGGCGAAGGCGGGUCUCUGGGCAGUAACUGACGCUGAGGAGCGAAAGCGUGGGGAGCGAACAGG
rnacentral:rRNA from 1 species